rnacentral:misc_RNA from 1 species
GAUGAAGAACGUAGCAAAAUGCGAUAAGUAAUGUGAAUUGCAGAAUUCAGUGAAUCAUCGAAUCUUUGAACGCACAUUGCGCCCGCUGGUAUUCCGGCGGGCAUGCCUGUUCGAGCGUCAUUUCAACCCUCAAGCCCCCGGGUUUGGUGUUGGGGAUCGGCUCUGCCCUUCUGGGCGGUGCCGCCCCCGAAAUUCAUUGGCGGUCUCGCUGCAGCCUCCAUUGCGUAGUAGCUAACACCUCGCAACUGGAACGCGGCGCGGCCAUGCCGUAAAACCCCAACUUCUGAAUGUUGACCUCGGAUCAGGUAGGAAUACCCGCUGAACUUAAGCAUAUCAAUAAGCGGAGGA